rnacentral:rRNA from 1 species
AUACGGAGGAUGCGAGCGUUAUCCGGAUUUAUUGGGUUUAAAGGGUGCGUAGGCUGUGCGUUAAGUCAGGGGUGAAAUGCCGUCGCUCAACGACGGGGCUGCCCUUGAUACUGGCGUGCUGGAGUACGGAUGCCGUUGGAGGAAUGAGUGGUGUAGCGGUGAAAUGCUUAGAUAUCACUCAGAACACCGAUUGCGAAGGCAUCUGACGAAUCCGUCACUGACGCUGAGGCACGAAAGCGUGGGGAUAGAACAGGAUUAGAUACCCUGGUAUUCCACGCCGUAAACGAUGAUGACUAACCGUCGGCGAUAGACAGCCGGUGGCCAAGCGAAAGCGAUAAGUCAUCCACCUGGGGAGUACGUCGGCAACGAUGAAACUCAAAUGAAUUGACGGGG